rnacentral:rRNA from 1 species
CCUACGGGAGGCAGCAGUGAGGAAUAUUGGUCAAUGGGAGAGAUCCUGAACCAGCCAAGCCGCGUGAGGGAAGACGGCCCUAUGGGUUGUAAACCUCUUUUGUCGGAGAACACAACCCGGGACGUGUCCCGGACUGCGUGUAUCCGAAGAAAAAGCAUCGGCUAACUCCGUGCCAGCAGCCGCGGUACUACGGGGGAUGCGCGCGUUACCGGGAUUUAUUGGGGUUAAAGGGUGCGUAGGCGGUCCGUUAAGUCAGCGGUAAAAUGGCGGGGCUCAACUCCGUCGAGCCGUUGAAACUGGCAGACUGGAGUGGGCGAGAAGUACGCGGAAUGCGCGGUGUAGCGGUGAAAUGCAUAGAGAUCGCGCAGAACUCCGAUGGCGAAGGCAGCGUACCGGCGCCAGACUGACGCUGAGGCACGAAAGCGUGGGGAUCGAACAGGAUUAGAUACCCGAGUAGUC